rnacentral:misc_RNA from 1 species
GAUGAAGAACGCAGCGAAAUGCGAUAAGUAAUGUGAAUUGCAGAAUUCAGUGAAUCAUCGAAUCUUUGAACGCACAUUGAGCCCGCCAGUAUUCUGGCGGGCAGGCCUGUUCGAGCGUCAUUACAACCCUCAGGCCCCCGGGCCUGGCGUUGGGGAUCGGCAGAAGCCCCCUGUGGGCACACGCCGUCCCUCAAAUACAGUGGCGGUCCCGCCGCAGCUUCCAUUGCGUAGUAGCUAACACCUCGCAACUGGAGAGCGGCGCGGCCAUGCCGUAAAACACCCAACUUCUGAAUGUUGACCUCGAAUCAGGUAGGAAUACCCGCUGAACUUAAGCAUAUCAAUAAGCGGAGGA